CAGGCCUAACACAUGCAAGUCGAGCGAGAAAGGUCUUCGGACCGAGUACAGCGGCGGACGGGUGAGUAACGCGUAGGAAUCUACCUGGUAGUGGGGGACAACAUGGUGAAAACCAUGCUAAUACCGCAUACGCCCUAUGGGGGAAAGCGGGGGACCUUCGGGCCUCGCGCUAUCAGAUGGGCAUGCGUAACAUUAGUUUGUUGGUGAGGUAACGGCUCACCAAGACUACGAUGUUUAGGGGGUCUGAGAGGAUGGUCCCCCACACUGGUACUGAGACACGGUCCAGACUCCUACGGGAGGCAGCAGUGGGGAAUAUUGCGCAAUGGGCGAAAGCCUGACGCAGCCAUGCCGCGUGUGUGAAGAAGGCCUUAGGGUUGUAAAGCACUUUCAAUUGGGAAGAAAGGUUGUACGUUAAUAGCGUGCAGCUGUGACGUUACCUUUAGAAGAAGCACCGGCUAACUCCGUGCCAGCAGCCGCGGUAAUACGGAGGGUGCAAGCGUUAAUCGGAAUUACUGGGCGUAAAGCGCGCGUAGGCGGUUUGUUAAGUCGGAUGUGAAAGCCCCGGGCUCAACCUGGGAACUGCAUUCGAUACUGGCCGACUAGAGUACGAGAGAGGGAGGUAGAAUUCCACGUGUAGCGGUGAAAUGCGUAGAUAUGUGGAGGAAUACCGGUGGCGAAGGCGGCCUCCUGGCUCGAUACUGACGCUGAGGUGCGAAAGCGUGGGUAGCAAACAGGAUUAGAUACCCUGGUAGUCCACGCCGUAAACGAUGUCUACUAGCCGUUGGGAGACUUGAUUUCUUAGUGGCGCAGCUAACGCACUAAGUAGACCGCCUGGGGGAGUACGGCCGCAAGGUUAAAACUCAAAUGAAUUGACGGGGGCCCGCACAAGCGGUGGGAGCAUGGGGUUUAAUUCGAUGCAACGCGAAGAA
rnacentral:rRNA from 1 species